rnacentral:rRNA from 1 species
UUAAAUUGAAGAGUUUGAUCAUGGCUCAGAUUGAACGCUGGCGGCAGGCCUAACACAUGCAAGUCGAACGGUAACAGGAAUCAGCUUGCUGAUUCGCUGACGAGUGGCGGACGGGUGAGUAAUGUCUGGGAAACUGCCUGAUGGAGGGGGAUAACUACUGGAAA